UAGGGAAUCUUCGGCAAUGGGGGCAACCCUGACCGAGCAACGCCGCGUGAGUGAAGAAGGUUUUCGGAUCGUAAAGCUCUGUUGUUAGAGAAGAACGUUGGUAGGAGUGGAAAAUCUACCAAGUGACGGUAACUAACCAGAAAGGGACGGCUAACUACGUGCCAGCAGCCGCGGUAAUACGUAGGUCCCGAGCGUUGUCCGGAUUUAUUGGGCGUAAAGCGAGCGCAGGCGGUUCUUUAAGUCUGAAGUUAAAGGCAGUGGCUUAACCAUUGUACGCUUUGGAAACUGGAGGACUUGAGUGCAGAAGGGGAGAGUGGAAUUCCAUGUGUAGCGGUGAAAUGCGUAGAUAUAUGGAGGAACACCGGUGGCGAAAGCGGCUCUCUGGUCUGUAACUGACGCUGAGGCUCGAAAGCGUGGGGAGCAAACAGGAUUAGAUACCCUGGUAGUCCACGCCGUAAACGAUGAGUGCUAGGUGUUAGGCCCUUUCCGGGGCUUAGUGCCGCAGCUAACGCAUUAAGCACUCCGCCUGGGGAGUACNACCGCAAGGUUG
rnacentral:rRNA from 1 species